UGGCGACCGGCGCACGGGUGAGUAACACGUAUCCAACCUGCCGAUGACUCGGGGAUAGCCUUUCGAAAGAAAGAUUAAUACCCGAUGGCAUAGUUCUUCCGCAUGGUAGAACUAUUAAAGAAUUUCGGUCAUCGAUGGGGAUGCGUUCCAUUAGGUUGUUGGCGGGGUAACGGCCCACCAAGCCUUCGAUGGAUAGGGGUUCUGAGAGGAAGGUCCCCCACAUCGGAACUGAGACACGGUCCAA
rnacentral:rRNA from 1 species